GUUGAAAAAUCCACUCAAACACUACAGUGGAAGUGUGUUGAAUCAAGAGUAGAUAGUAAGCGCCUUUAUUAUGGUCAUUUCAUUCUGUCCCCGCUUAGAAAAGGUCAAGCGGACACCAUCGGUAUUGCCUUGCGAAGAUCUUUACUUGGAGAAAUAGAAGGAACAUGUAUCACACGUGCAAAAUUUGGGAGCGUGCCGCACGAAUAUUCUACAAUAGCAGGUAUUGAAGAAUCCGUACAAGAGUAUGCCAAUAUGAUCUUAAUGAGGUGCGGGGCUUUGCAUCUGACAUUCGUUGGGCUUUCUUCUGCAGGAGCCCGCGUCCCGGCCUUUUUGUGCAAUAAACCCCUCCGGCCGAAGACUAGUGAUAGGUGUUCCCGCGGAGCUUUCGGAGAAGGGUAG
rnacentral:rRNA from 1 species